GAUGAACGCUGGCGGCGUGCCUAAUACAUGCAAGUCGAGCGAACAGACGAGGAGCUUGCUCCUCUGACGUUAGCGGCGGACGGGUGAGUAACACGUGGAUAACCUACCUAUAAGACUGGGAUAACUUCGGGAAACCGGAGCUAAUACCGGAUAAUACAUUGAACCGCAUGGUUCAAUAGUGAAAGACGGUUUUGCUGUCACUUAUAGAUGGAUCCGCGCCGCAUUAGCUAGUUGGUAAGGUAACGGCUUACCAAGGCAACGAUGCGUAGCCGACCUGAGAGGGUGAUCGGCCACACUGGAACUGAGACACGGUCCAGACUCCCACGGGAGGCAGCAGUAGGGAAUCUUCCGCAAUGGGCGAAAGCUUGACGGAGCAACGCCGCGUGAGUGAUGAAGGUCUUCGGAUCGUAAAACUCUGUUAUUAGGGAAGAACAAAUGUGUAAGUAACUAUGCACGUCUUGACGGUACCUAAUCAGAAAGCCACGGCUAACUACGUG
rnacentral:rRNA from 1 species